CAGGAGCAUUGGGAUACCCCAUGCCGACCUGAAGGACCCCCCCAGGUUUCCUGGAUGUCUGAUGUGUACAAGGACAAGUUUUGGAUGGGGGAAGCCUGACUGGAUGCUCGGGGGGGAUCAGUGAGACCCUCCCAAAUUCCCUCCCACCAGCACAGGACAAAAUUUAUGAGCCUGGUGGAACCAAAAUUCUUUUUCCAACCCCAAAAUCCAUGAGUGUUUUUCCAAAGAAAAUAGAUUACGAUAGAGAAAAGCUCUCCAAAGAAACUUGCUGCUUCCUGGGACAAACUUUAUAUCCCCAUAAAAAUACCAAAAGUCAACAUUU